AAGACUGUAUUUCACAGGAUCAUUUCUGUAGUCAGUCUUCAUGCUUUAUCGUUUCUACUCGAAACCAAAACCAGCCAUGAUGAAGAGUUGUGGCGUUUUUUCCUGAGCGUGAAGCCGGCAUGACGAUAGGUCUCUGACCAGUUGUCAUUGCUAUUGAUGAUCGUUCACUUUCCAUCUUCGAUGGGAAGCGAGGGAAAGAAUGCUCUCAGAGUGGU
rfam:Clunio marinus genome assembly, contig: CLTMA_superscaffold_47D